rnacentral:rRNA from 1 species
GAUGAACGCUGGCGGCGUGCCUAAUACAUGCAAGUCGAGCGAAGCGGGGACGGGUGAGUAACACGUGGAUAACCUCCUAUAAGACUGGGAUAACUUCGGGAAACCGUAGCUAAACCGGAUACUUAUAGAUGGAUCCGCGUUGCAUUAGCUAGUUGGUAAGGUAACGGCUUACCAAGGCAACGAUGCAUAGCCGAACUGAGAGGGGGGACAGCCAGACAGGAACAGACCCGCAGUCCUGACUCGUUCGGGAGGCCACAGUAAGUAAUCUUCCGAAUUGGGAGAAAGCCUGACCAAGCAACGCCGCGUGAGGAAUGAAGGUCUUCGAGUCGUAAAACUCUGUUAUCAGGGGAGCGGUACCUAAGCAGAAAACCACGGCUAACUACGUGCCAGCAGCCGCGGUAAUUC